rnacentral:misc_RNA from 1 species
GAUGAAGAACGUAGUGAAAUGCGAUAAGUAAUGUGAAUUGCAGAUUUCAGUGAAUCAUCGAAUCUUUGAACGCACCUUGCGCCUUGUGGUAUUCCACAAGGCAUGCCCGUUUGAGUAUCAUUAAAUCAUCAACUCUAAAACCUUUGUGGUUUUUUUUAGAGCUUGGUCUUGAGGGUUUUGCAGGCUUUUUUUUUUUUUUCGAGUCUGCUCCCUUUAAAUGCAUUAGCGAGACUUCCCUAUGCUGAACCGUCUCUUUGACGUGAUAAUUAUCUGCGUCGAAUUUUGGUUCUCGUUGGGCUUGCUUCUAAUCGUCUGUUAAAGACAAAACGGAUUUGGGUGCAUAUAUGCGCCUUUUUCCAAAACCUUUUUUUGAUCUCAAAUCGGGUAGGACUACCCGCUGAACUUAAGCAUAUCAAUAAGCGGAGGA